rnacentral:rRNA from 1 species
UACGGAGGGUGCAAGCGUUAUCCGGAUUCACUGGGUUUAAAGGGUGCGUAGGUGGGUUUGUAAGUCCGUGGUGAAAUCUCCGAGCUUAACUUGGAAACUGCCAUGGAUACUAUAGGUCUUGAAUACUGUGGAGGUCAGCGGAAUAUGUCAUGUAGCGGUGAAAUGCUUAGAUAUGACAUAGAACACCAAUUGCGAAGGCAGCUGGCUACACAAAUAUUGACACUGAGGCACGAAAGCGUGGGGAUCAAACAGG